GUCACUCUGAUACCAGACGACCUCAGAGGUACAAAGGUCGGGACUGAUAAUCAGGAGCAGCUGACAAUCCCAGCAUGCACCUGGCCAACGCCUCUCACCCAGAGAUGAGUGCGUGGACAGCGACCUGACGGGUGACGUGAGGAUCAACGUCUGAACACCUGAACCACCGGCGAUGGAGGUGAACCUUCUACUGAAGAGGAGCUGUGAUUAGCUGCUCGUGUUUGAUGACAGUGCAGAAACCGGGAAAGACUCACACUCGUGCUGUUCGUACGGAGGGUAGUUGAGCCUCACGGCGAUGAGGAUGAAGAAGAUGAAGAGCGGCCAGACGAUCUCCACCAGGAGCUGAAGCUGAAACACGACAGGAAACAUUGUUGUUGAUGACAUGAGACAGAAUUCAGAGGUCACAAACGUCCUGAAGUGAAGAUCAAGUGACAUACCGUCUGUCGUCGUCUGUAGGUGAAGUUCUUCCACAGCAACAGACCAAGCUGCGUGGAGACGGACAUGUCUGCUCACUGACCGUCAGUCAGUCGCUCUGCAGCAAACACAGACACAGAGGUUCAAAGGUGGCAGGGUCAAAGGUCACAGCUGAUAUCAAAGUGCUGAUCACACACACACACACACUCCAGAUGUUGAAUGAUGAAAUGUUCCUAGACACAAACAUUUUCAUGAUUGAUCUGCCUGUUGAUCAUUGGAUUGAUCAUUGAGAUGCUGAUCGAGGAUCAAUUAGUGUCUGCAGACGUGUGUGUGUGUGUGUGCCUGGAUCAAUAAUCAAUCAGUGAAGGGAAGCAGCUUCAUCACUGAUCUGAGUUCACAUCAGUAUCUGAUCCAUUGAUCACAUAGUGUGUGUGUGUGUGUGUGUGGGGGGUGGCACCACGGACUGGGGGGCAAACUCAUUUACAAGUUCACUCAGACGACCCCCCCCCCCACACACACACACAUUAACACACAAACACUUUGAUGACAAAGAGUCACAUGAGUCUUUGUUCAUUCACAACAGAAAACACUGAAUAAUGAGGAGGGUGGUCGUUAACACCCCCCCCUCACACACACCUUGAACUCUGAGUGAGGAGCUGUGAUCAUGAUUAAAUCAAACUGAUCAGAACUAGGCUGCUGAUCAAUAUUCUGAGCGUCGCCAUGGAAACAAAGACAUCAGAGCUGUGACAUCAGAGCUGCGAGAUGGAUGUUUGUUUUUCAGACUUGUAGGUCAUCGAGGUCAGCUGACUGACCGUGAUGAAGAGUUUUACACACUUCACUGAGGCACCGUCUCCACUGUCCUCUGAGGUGUGAACUAUGUGUGUGUGUGUGAGUCUGUGAGUGUGUGUGAGUAUGAGUGUGUGUAGAAAAUCUAUGUUCCAGUAAAGUUUAGUUUAAGAAGCUGAUGAAAUUUGUCAUGUGUAAAUAUUGAUUUGAAAGUGAUUUGUCGACCUAAUAAUAAACUUCACUGAAUCAA